GGCUCAACCUGGGAACUGCAUCUGAUACUGGCAAGCUUGAGUCUCGUAGAGGGGGGUAGAAUUCCAGGUGUAGCGGUGAAAUGCGUAGAGAUCUGGAGGAAUACCGGUGGCGAAGGCGGCCCCCUGGACGAAGACUGACGCUCAGGUGCGAAAGCGUGGGGAGCAAACAGGAUUAGAUACCCUGGUAGUCCACGCCGUAAACGAUGUCGACUUGGAGGUUGUGCCCUUGAGGCGUGGCUUCCGGAGCUAACGCGUUAAGUCGACCGCCUGGGGAGUACGGCCGCAAGGUUAAAACUCAAAUGAAUUGACGGGGGCCCGCACAAGCGGUGGAGCAUGUGGUUUAAUUCGAUGCAACGCGAAGAACCUUACCUGGUCUUGACAUCCACGGAAGUUUUCAGAGAUGAGAAUGUGCCUUCGGGAACCGUGAGACAGGUGCUGCAUGGCUGUCGUCAGCUCGUGUUGUGAAAUGUUGGGUUAAGUCCCGCAACGAGCGCAACCCUUAUCCUUUGUUGCCAGCGGUCCGGCCGGGAACUCAAAGGAGACUGCCAGUGAUAAACUGGAGGAAGGUGGGGAUGACGUCAAGUCAUCAUGGCCCUUACGACCAGGGCUACACACGUGCUACAAUGGCGCAUACAAAGAGAAGCGACCUCGCGAGAGCAAGCGGACCUCAUAAAGUGCGUCGUAGUCCGGAUUGGAGUCUGCAACUCGACUCCAUGAAGUCGGAAUCGCUAGUAAUCGUGGAUCAGAAUGCCACGGUGAAUACGUUCCCGGGCCUUGUACACACCGCCCGUCACACCAUGGGAGUGGGUUGCAAAAGAAGUAGGUAGCUUAACCUUCGGGAGGGCGCUUACCACUUUGUGAUUCAUGACUGGGGUGAAGUCGUAACAAGGUAACCGUAGGGGAACCUGCGGUUGGAUCACCUCCUUACCUUAAAGAAGC
rnacentral:rRNA from 1 species